rnacentral:rRNA from 1 species
AAGACGGGGGGGGCAAGCGUUGUUCGGAAUUACUGGGCGUAAAGGGCUCGUAGGCGGCCAACUAAGUCCGACGUGAAAUCCCUAGGCUCAACCUAGGAACUGCGUCGGAUACUGGAUGGCUUGAAUUCGGGAGAGGGAUGCAGAAUUCCAGGUGUAGCGGUGAAAUGCGUAGAUAUCUGGAGGAAUACCGGUGGCGAAGGCGGCAUCCUGGACCGACAUUGACGCUGAGGAGCGAAAGCUGGGGGAGCAAACG